rnacentral:rRNA from 1 species
GAUGAACGCUGGCGGCGUGCCUAAUACAUGCAAGUCGAGCGAAUGGAUUAAGAGCUUGCUCUUAUGAAGUUAGCGGCGGACGGGUGAGUAACACGUGAGUAACCUGCCCAUAAGACUGGGAUAACUCCGGGAAACCGGGGCUAACACCGGAUAACAUUUUGAACCGCAUGGUUCGAAAUUGACAGGCGGCUUCGGCUGUCACUUAUGGAUGGACCCGCGUCGCAUUAGCUAGUUGGUGAGGUAACGGCUCACCAAGGCAACGAUGCGUAGCCGACCUGAGAGGGUGAUCGGCCACACUGGGACUGAGACACGGCCCAGACUCCUACGGGAGGCAGCAGUAGGGAAUCUUCCGCAAUGGACGAAAGUCUGACGGAGCAACGCCGCGUGAGUGAUGAAGGCUUUCGGGUCGUAAAAUUCUGUUGUUAGGGAAGAACAAGUGCUAGUUGAAUAAGCUGGCACCUUGACGGUACCUAACCAGAAAGCCACGGCUAACUACGUGCCAGCCGCCGCAGUAA